CAAUAGCGUAUAUUAAAGUUGUUGCGGUUAAAAGCUCGUAGUUGGAUUUCUGUCGAGGGCGGCCGGUCCGCACUUUGUGCGUGUAUCUGGUUCGGUCUUGGCAUCCUCUUGGGGAACGUUACUGUGCUUGAUUGCAUGGGGCGGAAUUCAAGACUUUUACUUUGAGGAAAUUAGAGUGUUCACGGCAAGCUAUCGCUUUGAAUACAUUAGCAUGGAAUAAUAAUAUAGGGCGUAAGUUCUAUCUUGUUGGUUUCUAGAACAUACGCAAUGAUUAAUAGGGACAAUUGGGGGCAUUCGUAUUAACGCGUCAGAGGUGGAAUUCUUAGAUUGCGUUACGACGAACUACUGCGAAAAGCAUUUUGCCAAGGAUGUUUUCAUUGAUCAAGAACGAAAGUAUGGGGAUCGAAGACGAUCAGAU
rnacentral:rRNA from 1 species